rnacentral:misc_RNA from 1 species
GUCCCUGGAAAUACGUUUCAGUCAUCGGACCAUAUUUGCCUCUUUUGUUAACAAUGGCAUUAUGAGGAAUUUAGUCCAACUAAGUUGUUGCUAACUUUUGAGGAUUAUAAAACCAAGAAGUGCGGGAUACGCAUUGUACAUGAGAAAGAAAUAGAAUAGUUAAUCCAAUUCAACAAACCUCUAGAAAAUUUGGGUCUCUGUCAGU